UACGUAGGAUGCAAGCGUUGUCCGGAAUUAUUGGGCGUAAAGAGCGCGUAGGCGGUCUAUCAAGUCAGAUGUGAAAUCUCCCGGCUUAACCGGGAGGGGUCAUUUGAAACUGGUAGACUAGAGUACAGCAGAGGAUAGUGGAAUUCCCGGUGUAGUGGUGAAAUGCGUAGAUAUCGGGAGGAACACCAGUGGCGAAGGCGACUAUCUGGGCUGAAACUGACGCUGAGGCGCGAAGGCUAGGGGAGCAAACAGG
rnacentral:rRNA from 1 species